AUGGUUUUUUGAAGUUUAAUAAAAAAUCAGGCCUGCCCACUGAAGUUAUUAAAGGGCUGCAGUAUUUUGACUGUACAAAGGUAGCAUAAUCAUUAGUCUUUUAAUUAAGGACUGGUAUGAAUGGUUAGACGGAGGUAGACUGUCUCAUUUAUAAUAAGUAAAUUUUAUUUUUAAGGAAAAGAGCUUAAAUUUUACAAGGGGACGAGAAGACCCUAUUAAAUUUGAUUAAUAAUAAUUUGUGUUUUUAAUUAUAUAAAAGAAGUAUAUAUGUAUUAAUUUUACUGGGGCGGUGUGUUUGUAACUUUAUUAGGUUUUAAUAUAUUAAUUAGCGAUGUGUUUGAUCCGGAAGGUUUGAUAAUUAGAUAAAAUUACUAUAGGGAUAACAGCGUAAUGUUUUCUGAGAGUUCUUAUUGACGAAAAUGUUUGCGA
rnacentral:rRNA from 1 species